rnacentral:rRNA from 1 species
GUGGGGAAUCUUAGACAAUGGGUGCAAGCCUGAUCUAGCCAUGCCGCGUGAGUGAUGAAGGCCCUAGGGUUGUAAAGCUCUUUCAGCUGGGAAGAUAAUGACGGUACCAGCAGAAGAAGCCCCGGCUAACUCCGUGCCAGCAGCCGCGGUAAUACGGAGGGGGCUAGCGUUGUUCGGAAUUACUGGGCGUAAAGCGCGCGUAGGCGGACUGAAAAGUUGGGGGUGAAAUCCCGGGGCUCAACCUCGGAACUGCCUUCAAAACUAUCAGUCUGGAGUUCGAGAGAGGUGAGUGGAAUUCCGAGUGUAGAGGUGAAAUUCGUAGAUAUUCGGAGGAACACCAGUGGCGAAGGCGGCUCACUGGCUCGAUACUGACGCUGAGGUGCGAAAGCGUGGGGAGCAAACAGGAUUAGAUACCCCUGUAGUCC